rnacentral:rRNA from 1 species
AUAUCAGUCAUGCAUAGCAUAUCAAUAAGCGGAGGAAAAGAAACUAACAAGGAUUCCCUUAGUAACGGCGAGUGAAGCGGGAAGAGCUCAAAUUUGAAAUCUUCAAGGUUCUACCUUGACGAAUUGUAGUUUAUAGAAGUGUUUUCUGUUAGUAGAGUUGGCUAAAAGUUCUUUGGAAUAGGACAUCAUAGAGGGUGAGAAUCCCGUAUUUGAUCAUUCUUUCCAACUUUGUGAUACACUUUCAACGAGUCGGAUUGUUUGGGAAUGCAGUCCAAAACUGGGUGGUAAAUUUCAUCUAAAGCUAAAUACUGGCGAGAGACCGAUAGCGAACAAGUACCGUGAGGGAAAGAUGAAAAGAACUUUGAAAAGAGAGUUAAACAGUACGUGAAAUUGUCAAAAGGGAAGCGUUUGACACCAGUGUUGUUUUCUCGAAAAUCAAUUAAAAAUGGUUGAUUUUGUGUUGUAUUGACUUUAUCAGGCUUUCUGCACUUUUUUCCUGAUCUUUUUUAAUGCACUCUUCGUUUAACAAGUCAACAUCAAUUUCUUUUGUUGUAAAAGGGUCAUUGGAAGGUGGCUUUCUUUUCGGAGAAAGUGUUUAUAGCCUUUGACUUCUGCAAUCGGAGAGACUGAGGUCUGCAGCGUAGAUCCUUCGGGGUUAGAUACGUUUGUGCUAAGUUAUAGCUUUUCAUAGACAACUUGUUGACUAUGUUUAGUCUUGUAGCUUACUCGCUGACGCUAUUUUACCUACGCUUAGGAUGUUGAUCUCUCACAGUCGAGC